AAUGAACACAAAUUUGAUCACUUUGGCAAUCUGUACACAUUGCUGUGUAACAAUUUGUAUACGUUGGCACAGUGCUAUCAAAGCUGCAUGCAAGUGUUUUUUUGAAAGGAUACAACAUGGGAUGUGAUAUUCAUGUGUGUGUGCCUGCUUUGUCCACAGCCUGUGCUGUAUGAAUCACAUUUCUUGCAACUGAAAUGCUAAUGGCAUGGUAAAGUUCAUGUGACAUGACACAAGCUUGAGAUUCAUGAUGUGCAAGUACCAUGAGGGAAAUGUGAAAAGGACUUUGGAAAGAGAAUUAAAUAAAGCCUGCAUUUGCUGACAAUGAAAGCAAGUGUGGAUGUUCAUGUAAUUGUUACUGCAUCAAUCAAUGUUCAUCUUGGUUACUGCAUGCUUUAUAUUACAGCUCAGAACAUGAAGUGUGUGUAACAGCUCUGCUUUGAUUUUUCCCACAUGGGAUCAGUUGAAACAUUGUGAGAGCACUCUUCAGUUUCCUUAUGUACCCACCAGCUUUGUCCACUCGCGUGUUGGCACACAUGUAAUGAUGAUGUGUUUAUGCAAAAUACUUCUGUGCUCAACAACAUGUUGUGUCAAUCCUCACUUGACCCGUCUUGAAACACGGACCAAGGAGUCUGGCAAGUGUGCAAACCAACUUUCUGUANAGAUUUGUAUGUAAUGAACAUGUUUGUAUCAUUAUUGCACCACCAAUCAAUAUUCAGCUCGUUGCUUAUUUGAAUGUGAGCAUUGUUGCUAGGACCCGAAAGAUGGUGAACUAUGCUUGCAUAACAUGAGUUCAGAGGAAACUCUGAUGGAAGUUUGUAUCGGUACUGACGUGCAAAUCGUUCGUCACAACUGGGUAUAGGGGCGAAAGACUAAUCGAACCAUCUAGUAGCUGGUUCCUCCCGAAGUUUCCCUCAGGAUAGUUGGGAUUUGUUCAGUUAUAUUAUUUAAAGCGAAUGUUUAAAGGAAUUGGGGGCUUGUUUGCCUUUGACCUAUUCUCAAACUUUUAAUGUGUAUUAUUGCUGGAAUAACACAGAGUAUUGCAUGCAAUGAAAAAAUCAAGUGGGCCAUUUUUGGUAAGCAGAACUGGCGAUGAGGGAUGAACCUAAUAGUGGGUAAACAUGCUUAAUUUCCUGCCUAUGUGAUACCAGAAAGGGUGUUGGUUCAU
rnacentral:rRNA from 1 species